CCUCAAAUAUUAAAUGUUUAAACAUUCAGAAACGUCACUAAGACAUCUAGUCAUGCUAUGUUCCCAUGUGUGUCCCCGCCACACAUUCAGUGCUGUCCAAAAAAAAGAAAAUGUCAUCAUGCUCUGGAGAGAACCAGGGAUCUCUGAGAGUUCUGUAGCUUCCAGGAAAGAGGGAUUAUGGAGAUGAACUAACACACGAAUUGAGCUACAAGAGAGGUUAAAGGAUGUUCUUUGGCUGAAGUAAAAUGAUACUAUAUGGAAGGAAAGGAAGGAAACAGAAACAUCA